rnacentral:rRNA from 1 species
AUACGGAGGGUGCAAGCGUUAAUCGGAAUUACUGGGCGUAAAGAGUACGUAGGCGGCUUGUUAAGUCAGAUGUGAAAGCCCAGGGCUCAACCUUGGAACUGCAUUUGAAACUGGCAAGCUAGAGUAUGGUAGAGGGGGGUAGAAUUUCUGGUGUAGCGGUGAAAUGCGUAGAUAUCAGAAGGAAUACCAGUGGCGAAGGCGGCCCCCUGGCCCAAUACUGACGCUGAGGUACGAAAGCGUGGGUAGCGAACGGGAUUAGAAACCCCUGUAGUCC